UUUUUUUUUUUUUUUUUGCUUUUUUUCAGGGCUACUCCCAGGGCACAUGGAGGUUCCCAGAAAUGGCAAAAAGACAAAAAAAAAAAAAAAACUUUUCUGACCUGAAAGUUACAAUGGCUAUUGCUGAAUUGCCAGAAGGGAUUCACAUGUAACUGACGUGUCCUGGACAACAGCGGCCUGAAAGAUGCAAAUGGGGCAGCAUCAGGUCAGACCCUUCCUUUCUCAGACUUUCACUCUGCCUCCUAUUAUAGGACCCUUCUCCUUGCAAAGGGCUCCCAUCUCCCCCAACUCCAAACUCGCUGACCCACCCUACCCCACCCCAUCCACACUACCCCACCACCAAAUUUCUGGACAUUCCUAGGGGCUAUCUCGAAUAUGUCCAAGAACAAUGCCAGGUAGUAUCAGACAAGGGAGCUGCUUCCACUGUGUAAGGAUCUGCCAGUGGCCUCUGCCACCCAGCAGCCCUGGGGCCUCGGAGGUGACAACACUGGCCUUUGGCCCCUGGAACUGUCAGUCCACCAAAGCUGCCCUGAGUUACCCGCUACAAGAGGCAUUCCACCAGGGCCCUGGGGUUUUAGAUGGAAGUCAAAACAGUCCUUUCGAGAUUUCAUUUAUUUGCUUGUAAACCUAAAGUUUACACACACACAUACCUAACGCCCUCUUCCUCAAGUCUUGCUCACCGAAGUUCUUUCCUUGGGGCUCCCUUAGUGAGUCUGUGAAAAGAGUUUUGUUAGGUUACCCAUAAACCUGUGGAAAUGUCCAGCCCUGUCAGAAUUCCAGAGGAGACCAAAAAUAGGUCCUAUCAUUUACCCACAUUUUACAGGUGAGGACAUUGAGGCACAGAGAAGCUGAAUAAACUACUCGAGGUCACACAGACAUUCCAUAAGGGCAGUCUGGCUCCAGGGUCAGUGUUCCCAGCCACUACAUCGCAGUGGCUCAGGGGCUUGGGAGGGUGCCUCCACACUGUGCCAAGUUUCGUGUGGUUCUAGAAGGACCACUGCCACCUGGGGAUACUAACAAUUUUGGCUGCAGCUUUCUGACAGAAAUUGUAAGAACAAGCUUAAGCAUUCUUCAAGUCCCAGUUAAAUCAUCACCUCUCCCAGGUAAGCAUCAGCUCCCAAACAGGAGUGUCCCUUCCUCCGUGAAGACUCCAGGAAUCCCCCAGUCAGGACCGAAUCUCAGCCCCCUUUCCUGGUCCCACAGCUGUUCAACUCUAGAGAACAUAGCACGGCCUCAUCCUCCUUAGAGUGAGCAAUCCUGUCCACUCCUCACACUAGGAUGCAAGCGCUGCAAAGGCAGGACUGGUCUGCUGGUCCUUAAUGUCUGAGAGCACUCACCACAGUGCCCUGAAGGGAAGUGGUCCCUGCUCCUGCUCCUGUUCCCAGAGCUGCGCGGGGACAGCACUGAGAGCGUGGUAGGUGUGUAACGAUGGCUGAUGGAAACCUGAGCUGGGGAUGGAGGUCUCUCCACAGAAGACCCUGUAGUAUCAUGUGUUAGGCCAAAGCCUGCAAAAUUGCCAUUUUAUAGGCCAAAUUGUUCAAAUAUUGACACUUUCACUUGAGUCAAUUCGACAGAAAAUAUAUAUUGCCUAAGAGGAAUAGCCUAUAAACCCCCGAAAGUGUUUCCUUGGAAGGUUUUGAAAUCUCCCUUCUUCGAUAGCUGGUAUAAUCUAACUAUCGUUAUUUUGUAAAAAUACCCCAAAAGUCCAAAUUCUAGGUGGUAAAUCCUCAAAUAUCCCAAAGCCCAGAUGAGAAUGAUGAAAUUUGAUUCCAAUGACUAUUCAGCGGUGAGUUCCUAGGGUCCUGUUAACAGAACACAGAAGAGAAAGCAGCUUUACUCACUUUUUCUGUCAAUCUUGGUCAAAACGCUGCCUGGGAAAUAACUUCUGGGGCCUGGUAAGUUGGGGGAGAGUCCCCAGUGUUCCUACGUUCCCUCAUCUGUUCUCUGGCACCCUUU
ensembl:lncRNA